rnacentral:rRNA from 1 species
UACGUAGGGGGCUAGCGUUGUCCGGGAUCAUUGGGCGUAAAGAGCGUGUAGGCGGUCCGGUAAGUCCGCUGUGAAAGUCGGGGGCUCAACCCUCGAAUGCCGGUGGAUACUGUUGGGCUAGAGUGCGGAAGAGGCGAGUGGAAUUCCUGGUGUAGCGGUGAAAUGCGCAGAUAUCAGGAAGAACACCUAUGGCGAAGGCAGCACUCUGGGACGGUACUGACGCUGAGACGCGAAAGCGUGGGGAGCGAACAGG